GAUGAACGCUGGCGGCGUGCCUAAUACAUGCAAGUCGAGCGAACAGACGAGGAGCUUGCUCCUCUGACGUUAGCGGCGGACGGGUGAGUAACACGUGGAUAACCUACCUAUAAGACUGGGAUAACUUCGGGGAACCGGAGCUAAUACCGGAUAAUAUAUUGAACCGCAUGGUUCACUAGUGAAAGCCGGUUUUGCUUUCCCUUAUAGAUGGUUCCGCGCCGCAUUAGCUAGUUGGUAAGGUAACGGCUUACCAAGGCAACGAUGCGUAGCCGACCUGAGAGGGUGAUCGGCCACACUGGAACUGAGACACGGUCCAGACUCCUACGGGAGGCAGCAGUAGGGAAUCUUCCGCAAUGGGCGAAAGCUUGACGGAGCAACGCCGCGUGAGUGAUGAAGGUCUUCGGAUCGUAAAACUCUGUUAUUAGGGAAGAACAAAUGUGUAAGUAACUAUGCACGUCUUGACGGUACCUAAUCAGAAAGCCACGGCUAACUACGUG
rnacentral:rRNA from 1 species